rfam:Oesophagostomum dentatum strain OD-Hann O_dentatum-1.0_Cont4573.4, whole genome shotgun sequence.
GGCGCGAUGGCCGAGUGGUUAAGGCGUUGGGCUUAAGUUCUAAUGGACGUAAGUCCUCGUCGGUUCGAACCCCACUCGCGUCA